GUGGCCCCUGAGCUGCAGCCUGCAUCGCGGCGGGACCCGGAGCCCGGAGUUCGAGGGGGUAACCCGAGCCCUCCAAGCUCUUGAAGCCGCGAGGGUGGCUUAGCUUCGGUGUUUUGGCUGAGAACACCCUUAAAGCUUAAAAUAAAACCUGCCUGUGGGGUGCGGGGGAGUAGAGAGGAGGACGCGAAUCACACCCGUUGCUGCCCCCCAGCCCUCCCCGUCUGUACAAUGGGAUGCUCGGGACUCGGACGGGAGGAUCCAGUGACUGCGAGCCCUGGAUUCGCCUGAUCCCAGCCUCACACCCCCAGCCAGCCCCCAGAGACCCUCCCACACUUACGAAGGAAAUGCAUGCGGCCAGGAGGAGGAUCCGCACCAGGAGGGAGCUCUACCCAGGAAAAAGAAGAAAAGGACAGAUUCAUUUGGGGUUCAGCCUCAUGCCCCCUACACCCCAGACUUUGUGGCUAAGGUAAGAGAAUCAGGCCACCUUGAGGUUCAUCAAGGUCAUCCCAUUAAAACCUCCCAAAUCUCUG